GUGAAACUUCGGCUUCACAUAUAAUAAUACUGGAUUGAUACAGAGAAGAUUAGCAUGGCCCCUGGCGCAAGGAUGACACGCACAAUCGUGAAGCAAUCCCGUUUUAA